rnacentral:rRNA from 1 species
ACCCGCACAAGCAGCGGAGCGUGUGGUUUAAUUCGAUGCUACACGAAGAACCUUACCAGGGUUUGACAUGCAAGUGGUAGGAAACUGAAAAGGGACCGACCUUCGGGAGCUUGCACAGGUGCUGCAUGGCUGUCGUCAGCUCGUGUCGUGAGAUGUUCGGUUAAGUCCGCUAACGAGCGCAACCCUCACUGUGUGUUAUAUGUGUCACACGGGACUGCCGGUUUUAAGCCGGAGGAAGGUGGGGAUGACGUCAAGUCCUCAUGGCCUUUAUGUCUAGGGCUACACACGUGCUACAAUGGGUGGUACAAAGAGCAGCUAACUCGCGAGAGUAUGCAAAUCUCAAAAAGCCAUCCUCAGUUCGGAUUGGAGUCUGCAACUCGACUCCAUGAAGUUGGAAUCGCUAGUAAUCGCGGAUCAGCAUGCCGCGGUCGAAUACGUUCCCGGGCCUU